UGGUGGGUAGUUUGACUGGGGCGGUCUCCUCCUAAAGAGUAACGGAGGAGCACGAAGGUUGGCUAAUCCUGGUCGGACAUCAGGAGGUUAGUGCAAUGGCAUAAGCCAGCUUGACUGCGAGCGUGACGGCGCGAGCAGGUGCGAAAGCAGGUCAUAGUGAUCCGGUGGUUCUGAAUGGAAGGGCCAUCGCUCAACGGAUAAAAGGUACUCCGGGGAUAACAGGCUGAUACCGCCCAAGAGUUCAUAUCGACGGCGGUGUUUGGCACCUCGAUGUCGGCUCAUCACAUCCUGGGGCUGAAGUAGGUCCCAAGGGUAUGGCUGUUCGCCAUUUAAAGUGGUACGCGAGCUGGGUUUAGAACGUCGUGAGACAGUUCGGUCCCUAUCUGCCGUGGGCGCUGGAGAACUGAGGGGGGCUGCUCCUAGUACGAGAGGACCGGAGUGGACGCAUCACUGGUGUUCGGGUUGUCAUGCCAAUGGCACUGCCCGGUAGCUAAAUGCGGAAGAGAUAAGUGCUGAAAGCAUCUAAGCACGAAACUUGCCCCGAGAUGAGUUCUCCCUGACCCUUUAAGGGUCCUGAAGGAACGUUGAAGACGACGACGUUGAUAGGCCGGGUGUGUAAGCGCAGCGAUGCGUUGAGCUAACCGGUACUAAUGAACCGUGAGGCUUAACCUUACAACGC
rnacentral:rRNA from 1 species